rnacentral:lncRNA from 1 species
AUGCGGACCGGCGUCGCCGGCAGCACCUGGCUCCCCGCUACCCCGGCGCAGCCGGACGGGCUGUGGCAGCGCGGGCGGCGGAGCUCCCCCAGCCCGGCCCCUGGGGCUGAGCGAGCCGCGCCGCCGCCGCUACCGCCGCGCCCGCCCGAGGAGCGGAGCGGAGCCGAGCGGCGCUGGACGCGUGGCGGUGGCGCAGCCGAGUCGAGCUGGGGCCGCCGCUAUUUAGGGCGGGCACGGCGGGCGCCGCCACAGCCAGAGCGGGCGCGGGACGGCGGGGACGGCAGAUCUCCUUCCCCAUUUAUACAGUGAUAUUUGGUAGAUGAAGUGAACCGCUUCGAAAGUGUAAUUUCUAUGUGAAAUGAUCUGGGGAAAGCUUUGAGACACGGAAAACCGUGUUUCAGAGAUCCGUCAUGUUGGAUUGGUCCUAGUAUUAUCCCACGCCAUCCUGAUUUGUACCACGAGUGACCCAGCAGUCUGGCUUCUUCCUCACUCCUGCUUCAGGUAUGAUGGCGACCAAGUGUCACUGCCGUUGUGGUGCUAGCAUAAAGCCGAGAGCCCGCAUUGUAAUGUUAUACUCCUGGAGUCAUCCUUUUCUUUCUGUGUGCAUGUACCUGCUUGGGUGUGAGCGGGGGUUUCCAGUUCAAAACUGUCACUUCGAACCCUUGUUCUGUCACUAUAUGUCGCUUGUUGCUGCAAACAGUGGAUGUGAAAUACUUUUGGGGAUGAGUAUUGGUACCACAGCAAAGAGCAGGAGUUCAGCAGAAUUAUAAAACAGCCAGUGACAAGGUUUGAGGCAGGCAGUGAUCAUUUUUCCAGGAUACUGUGGACACCAAUAUGUGAGACAUGACAGGGGCUUAAAGGAGAAUAAAGUUUCCCCAGAGAGACUUUCUCUUCUCCAGUUGUAAGACUGAUGUAAACUCCAGGGAAGAAACGUCAUUCACAAAACUAAGUGGGCAGCUGCCUUCAGAGCAGCGGAAAGGUACCUUUGCCAGUAAUUGUAAUUUCUUUAUUGUUAUACUGAUGUCUAUGGAAUGUUAAACAGGUCAUUCCAGGAAGCAAUGGCUGAGAUCCAUGAGGUUUCUCAGGACAGAUGUGUUUUUUUGUAUUUACCCCAAAGUUAAGAUGGUAUCAUAACAAAGAAUUUAGCUUGUGCAUCAUACACUCCUCUUAAAUAUUAAAAUGAACAAAUAUCACACAUAUUGUCAAUCUGUUGUUUUUCAUGUUGCCCGUAACAUUUUUCCCUUUUACUCCCAGAUCCUGACUGUCCCAGAAUAGCAUCAUCACCAGACAUCACUCUUAUUUCUCCUGAAAUCACAGAUUGUUCUGUCUUCUUUGCAGCCAGUGGUCACUCCCUAUAUCACACUUCUGGUAGGCUAGAAGGAGAUCGAAAUUGAGCACAUGUAAUGCAGGCAUGUGUGAGUAAAUGACAGAGAAUCAAAAAAUAGAAAAAUCAAAUCUGCUCUGUGGUGUGAGCAAUGCUGGUUCACAGCAUUUUUAGAGUUCUGCAAAGUAUAUUUUUAAAUUCAAACAUGUCAAAAUGCAGGAAGAUGUGAUGGGCCUGGCUGCUUUCAGUGUCUUUUACAGAGAGUAAGCAUGACAGUACACUGUCCUCACCUAAAUGCAGAACAAAAAUCAGUGGCAAAGUGUUCCUACCUGGCAGAGUCAGGGAAAUGUUCCUUCCUCCUGUUCAUGCUCUGAAACGGUGAAGAAUGGGAGCCCUGGUUCCCCAGUGGCACCCAGUGAGAAGUUGUUAUAAGCAGUUGUGUCAUUCCUUACCGGUCGGUGCAUCAUAGUACCAUAAAGCUGAGUCCUGAGCCAGUUUCAGAUUUGAAUUAUGGUGUCCUGCAAAGCUUGCACUGUCUUGGAUUUUGGUUCAUUUUGAGUUGGCUAAGUUUACAGUGUAUUGAAAUAAAUAAAAAUAUAAAUAGUAUUUGCACUGUUUUUCACAGGGCAAAAGGCCCUUUCUAAUCUAUUUUGCUUCCCCAGUACUGGGCUGUUGGAAAUCGUGUUUCUGAAAGAUUGUUUAAGCUAUUCUUAAAAAAUGUCUAAGACAGAGAAGUCACAGUGUCUCCAAGCAAAUCUUUUAAGACCUUCACUACCCUUACCAUGUGCGAGGUCUUCUUAACAGCUCAGUUUUCCUUGGUGCAGCUAAAUCCCUCUCCUUUCAGUGAUAUUAGUCAUAGUCAUGGGGAACAGACUUUUCCUUCCUGUUCUGCAGCAGGCUUCCAUGAAUAUAAAGUCUGUUGAACAUCUCCAGCUGAGUCCUUUCUAGCCCAGACAUGCCUGUUCAUUCAGUUUAUUCUCAUAAAUUCACUUUUCUGAAAAUCCUCACUGCCUUCCUUUGACCUCUUCCUAUGCGGUCCAUAUCAGAGGAACACAGUGCCCAAGGCUGAACACAAGGCUUCCAUUUGGCUUUGUUCAAGAUGAACAGAUUAAGAUCUAUCAGAGGUCCUAGUUAAGAAUAGGACAAAUCUACCAAAGUCUUUGCUACUUUAAAGGGGUACAAUAUUGUUGACGCUGAUGACAGUACAUGUUGGUCCUACACUAUGCAGAGCUGUUAUCUAGCUGGUUACACUCCAUCAUAUGCUAGGACAGCUGCUUAUUUCUACCUGAACUAAAUACAAAUCAUAGAAUCAUAGAAACUCAAGGUUGGAAAGGAUCUACAAGAUCAUCUAGUCCAACUGUCCUCCUAUCACCAAUACUACCCACUAAGCUAUUAAAUCAUCUCUUGUAGCACCUCGUCCAAGUGGUUCUUGAACACUGUCAGGGACGGUGACUCCAGACUAAACAAUCCCAGUUCCCUCAGCCGCUCCUCACAGGACUUGUGUUCCAGGCCCUUCUCUAGACAUGUUCCAGGGCCUCAAUGUCCUUCUUGUAGUGAGGGGCCUAAAACUGAACACAGCACUCAAGGUGUGGCCUCACUAAAGCUGAGGGGAUGAUCACCUCCCUGCUCCUGCUGGCUACACCAUUUCUAAUAUAGGCCGGGAUGCUGUUUGCCUCCUUGGCCGCCUGGGCACACUGCUGACUGCAUGGGGUUGUUGUGACCAAAGUGCAGGACCCAGCACUUGACCUUGUUGAACCUCAUCCCAUUGGCCUCUGCCCAUCAAUCCAAACUUUCCAGUUCCCUCUGAAGGGCCGCCCUACCCCUCAGCAGAUCGACAUUUCCCCCCAACUUGGUUUCAUCUGCAAACUUAUUGAGGGUAAACUCAAUCCCCUUAUCUAGGUAAUCAAUAAAGAUAUUAAACAAGAUAGGCCCUAGUACCGCCCCCAGGGGCACACUGCUUGUAACGGAACGCCAGCUGGACUUAACUCCAUUAACGACAACUCUCUGGGCAUGGCCCUCCAGCCAGUUCUUUAUCCAGAGAAGAG